rnacentral:rRNA from 1 species
AUGCACGCUGGCGGCGUGCCUAAUACAUGCAAGUCGCGCGCACAGACGAGGAGCUUGCUCCUCUGACGUUAGCGGCGGACGGGUGAGUAACACGUGGAUAACCUACCUAUAAGACUGGGAUAACUUCAGGAAACCGGAGCUAAUACCGGAUAAUAUAUUGAACCGCAUGGUUCAAUAGUGAAAGACGGUUUUGCUGUCACUUAUAGAUGGAUCCGCGCCGCAUUAGCUAGUUGGUAAGGUAACGGCUUACCAAGGCAACGAUGCGUAGCCGACCUGAGAGGGUGAUCGGCCACACUGGAACUGAGACACGGUCCAGACUCCUACGGGAGGCAGCAGUAGGGAAUCUUCCGCAAUGGGCGAAAGCCUGACGGAGCAACGCCGCGUGAGUGAUGAAGGUCUUCGGAUCGUAAAACUCUGUUAUUAGGGAAGAACAAAUGUGUAAGUAACUAUGCACGUCUUGACGGUACCUAAUCAGAAAGCCACGGCUAACUACGUG